GAAGGUGGCAAGCGUUGUUCGGAAUCAUUGGGCUUAAAGCGUAUGUAGGCGGCCUAUCAAGCGUCUUGUGAAAUCCCUCGGCUCAACCGAGGAAUUGCUCGGCGAACUGGUAGGCUUGAGGCAAGUAGGGGUGUGUGGAACUCUUGGUGGAGCGGUGGAAUGCGUAGAUAUCAAGAGGAACGCCGGUGGCGAAGGCGACACACUGGGCUUGUCCUGACGCUGAGAUACGAAAGCUAGGGGGUAGCGAACGGGAUUAGAUACCCCGGUAGUCCUAGCCUAAACGAUGUCAACUAGGUCGGAGGUUCUCUGACGGAGUUCCGGCCGAAGCAAAAGUGUUAAGUUGACCGCCUGGGGAUACGGUCGCAAGGCUA
rnacentral:rRNA from 1 species